ACGGAAGGCAGCAGUGGGGAAUAUUGCACAAUGGGGGAAACCCUGAUGCAGCGACGCCGCGUGAGCGAAGAAGUAUUUCGGUAUGUAAAGCUCUAUCAGCAGGGAAGAUAAUGACGGUACCUGACUAAGAAGCACCGGCUAAAUACGUGCCAGCAGCCGCGGUAAUACGUAUGGUGCAAGCGUUAUCCGGAUUUACUGGGUGUAAAGGGAGCGUAGGCGGUUUUACAAGUCUGAUGUGAAAGCCCGGGGCUCAACUCCGGUAUUGCAUUGGAAACUGUAGAACUAGAGUGUCGGAGGGGUAAGUGGAAUUCCUAGUGUAGCGGUGAAAUGCGUAGAUAUUAGGAGGAACACCAGUGGCGAAGGCGGCUUACUGGACGAUUACUGACGCUGAGGCUCGAAAGCGUGGGGAGCAAACAGGAUUAGAUACCCUGGUA
rnacentral:rRNA from 1 species